AAAGAGGGCCUUGUUUUGGGUGUGGCCUCCUGGAAGAGAGAUGGGGAGUACAGGCUGCUCCACACCGUCCCUGGGCUUCCUUCUAGGGCGUCCUGGGAUAGCUAGGAUUUCAGGGUGGGGCAGAAAAGAAGGCUGCCACAGACACUCUAGACCCAGGACGGUCUUGUAGGCUCAAUGUGUGUGUUUCAUCCCAGGCGCGGCCGGCAUAGCGCUCGGGGUGCGGGUGGAAAUAAUAGCAGCAGUGUUAGCGCCUUGGUAAGCGCGCU
rnacentral:lncRNA from 1 species